rnacentral:rRNA from 1 species
CCCUUAGAUGUUCUGGGCUGCACGCGUGCUACACUGAUAUUGCCAAUAUGUCAUUCUUAUCCGAAAUGGAUUGGGUAAUCAAGUAAUGAAAUUUCAUGCUUGGAAUCGGUAAUUGCAAUUUUAUCGUGAACGAGGAAUUCCUAGUAAGCACUAGUCAUCAGCUAGUGUUGAUUAUGUCCCUGCCCUUUGUACACACCGCCCGUCGCUACUACUGAUUGGGUGUUCAAGUGAGAUGCUUAGACCCUUGUUGCAUGGUUCAUUAUUGUGCUCCGAAAGGAAAAAGUUUCAAGCUUGAGUGUCUAGAGGAAGUAAAAGUCGUAACA